UACGUAGGAUGCGAGCGUUAUCCGGAUUUAUUGGGUUUAAAGGGUGCGUAGGCGGGCUUUUAAGUCAGCGGUAAAAAUUCGGGGCUCAACCCCGUCCGGCCGUUGAAACUGGGGGCCCUGAGUGGGCGAGAAGAAGGCGGAAUGCGUGGUGUAGCGGUGAAAUGCAUAGAUAUCACGCAGAACCCCGAUUGCGAAGGCAGCCUUCCGGCGCCCUACUGACGCUGAGGCACGAAAGUGCGGGGAUCGAACAGG
rnacentral:rRNA from 1 species